UCAACAGAGACGGGCGGGGGCAUUCGUACCGAGACGUUAGAGGUGAAAUUCUUGGAUCGUCUCGAGACGAACUGACGCGAAAGCAUUUGCCAAGUACGUUCUCGUAUGAUCAAGAACGAAAGUUAGAGGUUCGAAGGCGAUCAGAUACCGCCCUAGUUCUAACUGUAAACGAUGCCAGCUAGCGAUCCGCCGGCGUUUCAUUAACGACCCGGCGGGCAGCUUCCGGGAAACCGAAGCUUUUCGGUUCCGGGGGAAGUAUGAUUGCAAAGUUGAAACUUAAAGGAAUUGACGGAAGGGCACCACCAGGAGUGGAGCCUGCGGCUUAAUUUGACUCAACACGGGAAACCUCACCAGGCCCGGACACCGGAAAGAUUGACAGAUUGAGAGCUCUUUCUUGAUUCGGUGGGUGGUGGUGCAUGGCCGUU
rnacentral:rRNA from 1 species